GCAGCAUUUUUAGGAUGCGCUCCGGCUCCUUCAUGGAGGCGGGCACCCAGACUCUCGCCCUUGGUCUACUGGGCACUUCGCUCCAGUCUACAGCGACGAGCUUCGCCUCUGGGUAGACUUCCCCGACUUGCGCUACCGCUGCUUUGUACAGCUGUACGGAGCGCUCAUCUUCACAGGCUACGAUUUUUAUGCAGCCCUGGUACCAGCCCAUGUCUCUGCAGACGGGGGGGGGGUCCAGGCUGCUUUUCCAGCAGCUCGAAGCAGCGGUCGGCCAGUGCCGCUUCCACCCACUUCCACUGGUUCCGAGGGAUCCGGGAGUCCACGCUGCCUUUGUCCAGGACGCCAAUCAGCGUCCUUUCUCUGGCAAUCUGCGCGAACGAUGCGUUAGGCAGCACUCUGGAGCGCUUCGGUGUCGGCCCCGGAGUCUCCUGCGAGCGCUGCCUUUUUUGCUGAGGGGCUUCCUUCUUCGGUGCUUCCUUGCCAAAGUUCGGCAGCACCUUCGAGGCCCACUCGACCUUCUUAAUCCAUUUGUCCGUCGGGCUGGACAUCUGGCUUGCGUUCUGCCGACGGAGUAUGUUGCCAGCACUGCCAGCACUAUAUAAUGGCAUAAUUAUCAUUGAUUUUUGUGUUUAUUGUAUGCAUUUGUAUGAUUAACAAUGCGAAAGAUUCAGGAUACCUUCGAGACCCGUCUUGAAACACGGACCAAAGGAGUCUAACAUAUGUACAAGUUAUUGGGAGAUAAAACUAAUAGCGUAAAUAACUUGACUAAUAAUGGUAUUAGUUUUUUUUUACUAUUUAUAGAUAAUUUACACAAUCCUGGGGCGUUCUAUAUAGUUAUGUAUAAUAAUAUUUAUAGUAUUUAUGCCUCUAACUGGAACGUACCUUGAGCCUAUAUGAUGUGACCCGAAAGAUGGUGAACUAUACUUGUUCAGGUUGAAGUCAGGGGAAACCCUGAUGGAAGACCGAAACAGUUCUGACGUGCAAAUCGAUUGUCAGAAUUGAGUAUAGGGGCGAAAGACCAAUCGAACCAUCUAGUAGCUGGUUCCUUCCGAAGUUUCCCUCAGGAUAGCUGGUGCAUUUUAAUGUUAUAUAAAAUAAUCUUAUCUGGUAAAGCGAAUGAUUAGAGGCCUUAGGGUCGAAACGAUCUUAACCUAUUUUCAAACUUUAAAUGGGUAAGAACCUUAACUUUCUCGAUAUGAAGUUUAAAGUUAUGAUAUAAUGUGCCCAGUGGGCCACUUUUGGUAAGCAGAACUGGCGCUGUGGGAUGAACCAAACGUAAUGUUACGGUGCCCAAAUUAACAACUCA
rnacentral:ncRNA from 1 species